GUUGAUUUACCCGUAAAUCCCAAAAAGAAGUAGUGAGUUCAAUAAAGCUUAAAAUCUUGUGAUAGUCACAUAACACUAAAGACAAAGUAAGUUAGAGGACUAGAUUGUUUUAAAGAAUAAAUUAAUAUUUUACUAACUUCCAAGACAUAUUUGAUUAGGAUUUUGACUAAGAUGGGAUACUUUUCCCUGGGAGAUGAAUAUCUUUGAAGUGGGAAUGGUAAUAUUUUCACAUCAAUUUGUUUUCAAUUCAUCAGCAUCUCAAGCUGGGAAGCUGGAAGUCACAGUACUCUAUUGAGAGAGGGAAACAUUUAGUAACAUAUGGAAAUAUUAAGAGGGUAUGAAUGUCUACGUGUGGUAACUCAGCUAACUGCUUUUGGUUGGUCAGGUCGGGUUUUAUUUCAGAUAUUUUAAUGCCAUAUUCAAUUGAGCCAACUGCUGUACUCUAAACCAUUUGCUAAAAAUGUCUGAAUCACUGCAUAAAUAUGUUUUUGGUUUUGGACUAAGAGGAAAGAACAUGAGUUUCACAAAAUCUCCAUUUGUCAUGUUUUUAGGUGAAGACAGCUAUGCUGUAGUGAAAGGAGCU
rnacentral:lncRNA from 1 species